GGAGAGAUGCUCGAGUGGCUUAAGAGGCACGCCUGGAAAGCGUGUAUACUCCAAAAGGGUAUCAGGAGUUCGAAUCUCCUUCUCUCCGCAA
rnacentral:tRNA from 1 species